UUUUUUCGCAUUUAUUUACAUUUAUUUUUAUUUUUCUUUUAUUUUAUCUUAUUUUGCAUUGAGACUAAAGUUUGAAUGGUUUGUAUUUUCAGGAUCACUUUCCUAACUUUUACAAGAUGCAGGGUUUUGAUGACAUGCAUGUUGCCUAUAGAGACAAUGCUCAAAGGGAGCGCUACAUUGCUUUAUACCAGCGCCCUAUGGCACCCACACGUUACCCUGAUCAGCAUUGUAUGGAGGCACUGGGUAUCGAGCCUAGUAUCCGAUUCCUUAGCCACCAGCUCCACUGGGACGUACCCUGAUCAGCAUUGUAUGGAGGCACUGGGUAUCGAG
rnacentral:lncRNA from 1 species